UGGGAGGUGGGCAUGGUGGAAUGAUGAAAUCCUUGAAUGGUUUGGCUUGGAAGGGAUCCUAAAGAUCAUCUGGUUCCAAGCUGAGCAGCCUCCCAGCACAGCAGGUUGCUGCGGCCCCUGUCCAAGCUGGCCUUGGAUGUUGGUGGGCAUGGGUUGCUGACAAAGAGUCCUCUCCCACUUCCCUGUGGGUCAGGCUGUCCCUGCAGUGUCACACAUGUGGCUGAAGCUGCAGCCAGGAGAGAGAGAAGCCAAGCUGCUAGAGAGAGGCAAUGGGGAAAGUGACAUGAGAGUGAGCCCGUGUGAGCGAGCUGCACUCCCAGGGGCCGGAGCACACUUGCUUCAAGUGCUGAUGAAUGAGGCCAGAGACGGGACUUUGUGUGGAACUCCAAACGCUGUGCAUUGCCAUGAAGAGGGUCCAGGGCCAGAGAGAAAAUGAGGCUGGGGUCUGAGGGUUUCAUUCGGGGGGGAGAAGGGGUGAAGCCAGGACCAGCAGGGGAGAAGAGAGAGGAGAACAUUCUCUGGAGAGUAGAUCUAAGGAAAAAAUGGCAGUUGAAGUGGGUGAUAGCAACAAAACCUGCGGAUUGCAAGAGGCUGCAAGUGGCCAUGGGUGAGAGCCUUGCAUUCAGAGGGGUUUCUCUGUUUCACCUUGGUCCCCUUUGCCCUAAGGUAUUACAGUUGCAAUGAGAGGCCCCUGGGCCUCCACAACUGCCCCCUUUUUGUUUUCAGGAAUGAAGGCUUCUGCCAUGGACUUUUGCAUGCGUUGAGCAAAACUGGAUAGAAUAACCAAGACAAUGAAUACAAGAAACAAAGCCCACAAAACAGUCUUGACUAAAUCACAGAAUCACAGAAUCACAGAAUCACAGAAUCAUGAGUUUGGAAGAGACCUCUAAGAUCAUCAAGUCCAACCUAUGCCCUAACAUCUCAACUAGACUAUAGCACCAAGUGGCAUGUCCAGUCUUUUUUUAAACACAUCCAGUGAUGGUGAUUCCACCACCUCCCUGGGAAGACAAUUCCAGUGCUUUAUUAUUCUUUCAGUGAAAAUUUUUUUCCUAAUAUCUAACCUAUACCUUCCCUGACGUAGCUUGAGACUGUGUCCCCUUGUUCUGUCAGUUGCUACCCGGUGGAAGAGACCGACCCCCACCUGUCUACAACCUCCCUUCAGGAAGUUGCAGAGAGCAAUAAGGUCACCUCUAAGCCUCCUCUUCUCCAGGCUAAACAACCCCAGCUCCCUCAGACGUUCCUCGUAGGGCUUGUUUUCCAAGCCCCUCACCAACCUCGUUGCUCUCCUCUGGACACGCUCAAGUAUCUCAAUAUCCUUCCUAAAUUGAGGGGCCCAGAACUGGACACAGUACUCAAGAUGUGGCCUCACCAGUGCAGAGUACAGGGAGAGAAUGACCUCCCUGCUCCUGCUGGUCAGACAAGUCCUAAUGUAGGCCAGGAGGCCGUUGGCCUCCUUGGCCACCAAGGCACAUUGCUGGCUCAUAUCCAAUCGGCUGUCAACCAGCACCCCCAGGUCCCUUUCUGCCUGAACACUAUCCAGCCACACCGUCCCCAGCCUGUAACGCUGUAGGGGAUUUUUGUGGCCAAAAUGCAGAACUCGGCACUUAGACUUAUUAAACUUCAUACUGUUGGACGUAAAGAUGAAAGCCAGCCUUUCGUGCCCCAGUCUUUCAAAAGUCCAGUGAGCCAGUCGUUGUUGCCUUUUGUCUGGAUCUUAUUGAUUUGAUCUGUGAGCAGCUGGACGCUCUGGUAUACUGAUUCCCUAUGUGAGAAGAGGUUGACAUGCGUGGCCAUGGGCAAGAAAUUGUGGCUUGACUAUGGAACCACCCAUCCGAAGGCAUGCGGCAUAGUGAGGAGCAUCCAGCUUCCUGCUGCAGUGGCAACAAAAGACAGCAUCCUUUGACUUUAGCUAAUUUAGUAUUGGGUGGAGGCUUGGGUGGCCUGAAAGUAAAGAGAUAGGGAGAUUGCAAUGUGAAACUGAAAUUCUGGUCCCACUAAACUUUCUCUUCUGUAAGGCAAGGGUUUGAAGUCAGCUUAUUAGAAGAAUCAAAUAUCAAGGCUAGAAUACAGUUUUUCCAAUUGUUAAGCGGUAUAUCGCAGUUAGUGGUGUCUGAGCUCUCUUGGUGUUGGUC